rfam:Trichobilharzia regenti genome assembly, scaffold: TRE_scaffold0093896
AUCCAGAUGGUGAGUCCCAAAUAGGACGAAAAGCGCGUUAUCCUGGAU